GGGACUGGCGAUUGGGACGAAGUCGUAACAAGGUAGCCGUACCGGAAGGUGCGGCUGGAUCACCUCCUUUCUAAGGAG
rnacentral:rRNA from 1 species